rnacentral:rRNA from 1 species
AGAGAGAGACAUGCGCGCAUAUCAAUAAGCGGAGGAAAAGAAACUAACUAGGAUUCCCUCAGUAACGGCGAGUGAAGCGGGAAGAGCUCAAAUUUGAAAUCUUCAAGGUUCUACCUUGACGAAUUGUAGUUUAAAGAAGUGUUUUCUGUUGGAGUUUUGGUAAAAGUUCUUUGGAAUAGGACAUCAUAGAGGGUGAGAAUCCCGUAUUUGACCAUUAUUUCCAGCUUUGUGAUACACCUUCAAAGAGUCGGAUUGUUUGGGAAUGCAGUCCAAAAUGGGUGGUAAAUUUCAUCUAAAGCUAAAUAUUGGCGAGAGACCGAUAGCGAACAAGUACCGUGAGGGAAAGAUGAAAAGAACUUUGAAAAGAGAGUUAAACAGUACGUGAAAUUGUCAAAAGGGAAGCGUUUGACACCAGUGUUGUUUUCUCGAAAAUCAAUUAAAAAAGGCAGGAUUUUGUGUUGUAUUGACUUUAUCAGCUUUCUGCACUCUUUUCUUGUCUUUUUUAAUGCACUUUUCGUUUAACAAGUCAACAUCAAUUUCUUUUGUUGUAAAAGGGUCAUUGGAAGGUGGCUUUCUUUUCGGAGAAAGUGUUUAUAGCCUUUGGCCUCUGCAAUCGGAGAGAUUGAGGUCUGCAGCGUAGAUCCUUCGGGGUUAGAUACAUUUGCGCUAAGUUAUAGCCUUUCAUAGACAACUUGUUGACUAUGAUCAGUCAUGUAGCUUACUCGCUUAUGCUAUUUUACCUACGCUUAGGAUGUUGAUGUGAUACUGCGAGC